rnacentral:rRNA from 1 species
GACGUAGGGUGCGAGCGUUGUCCGGAUUUAUUGGGCGUAAAGAGCUCGUAGGCGGCUCGUCGCGUCGACCGUGAAAACCCGCGGCUUAACUGCGGGCUUGCGGUUGAUACGGGCGGGCUAGAGUUCGGUAGGGGAGACUGGAAUUCCUGGUGUAGCGGUGAAAUGCGCAGAUAUCUGGAGGAACACCGGUGGCGAAGGCGGCAUCCUGGACCAAUUCUGACACUGAGGAGCGAAAGCCAGGGGAGCAAACGGG